rnacentral:lncRNA from 1 species
AUUUAUUUCAGCAGCCAUGCAAUGUUUGACUAACCCCGAAAAUCUACUGCUAAACGUAAAAGUGCAAUCGUGAACCCAUAUGAUGGAUUUGCACAUGGUGCUCAAGGAAUUCGUCAGUACCAUAAACGCGCAUGUUAUGAUAUCUAAAUAAGUCAUUAUUUUGAAAAUGAGACAAUUUAUCAUUUAAACUUUAUGAAUGCUAGAAAUGAAUCAGUAUCACCAACAGCUUCAAAUGACUCG